CCAAGUAAAUGUCAAGGAUGCAGACCGUGUUUAUGCGGGGUUGUGGGAAGAACUACGAGGAACUAGCAACGUACUCAACAAUUAAUAGACUGAACUGGAACUAGUUGGAAAGCUAGAUCGUAGAAGGUGAGUAAUACCUGUACAGGUAAACUCAUUAACUUGUCCGUUCUCUCCCAAGUAACAUGGAACACGAGGAAGUUCUGUGUGAAUCUGCGAGGACCAUAUCUCGUAAGGCUAAAGUACUCUUACUAACCGAUAGCGUAUAGUACCGUGAGGGAAAGGUGAAAAGAACCCCGGAGGGGAGUGAAAUAGAACCUGAAACUAUGUGCUUACAAGCGGUCAGAGCCCGCAAGGGUGAUGGCGUGCCUUUUGGAGAAUGAUCCUGCGAGUUACGUUCAGUGGCAAGGUUAAGUUUAACGGAGCCGAAGGGAAACCGAGUCUGAACAGGGCGAUUUCAGUCGCUGGGCGUAGACGCGAAACCUGGUGAUCUAAGCCUGUCCAGGGUGAAGCUGUGGUAAGACACAGUGGAGGCCCGAACUCACCGC
rnacentral:rRNA from 1 species